GACGAACGCUGGCGGCGUGCCUAAUACAUGCAAGUAGAACGCUGAAGGAGGAGCUUGCUCUUCUGGAUGAGUUGCGAACGGGUGAGUAACGCGUAGGUAACCUGCCUGGUAGCGGGGGAUAACUAUUGGAAACGAUAGCUAGUACCGCAUAACAGUAGAUGUUGCAUGACAUUUGCUUAAAAGGUGCAAUUGCAUCACUACCAGAUGGACCUGGGUUGUAUUAGCUAGUUGGUGGGGUAACGGCUCACCAAGGCGACGAUACAUAGCCGACCUGAGAGGGUGAUCGGCCACACUGGGACUGAGGCACGGCCCAGACUCCGACGGGAGGUAGCAGUAGGGAAUCUUCGGCAAUGGACGGAAGUCUGACCGAGCAACGCCGCGUGAGUGAAGAAGGUUUUCGGAUCGUAAAGCUCUGUUGUAAGAGAAGAACGAGUGUGAGAGUGGAAAGUUCACACUGUGACGGUAUCUUACCAGAAAGGGACGGCUAACUACGUGCCAGCCGCCGCCGUAA
rnacentral:rRNA from 1 species